rnacentral:rRNA from 1 species
CGGUGGAUGACGUGGUUAAUUCGAUGCAACGCGAAAACCUUACCACCUUUGACAUGUACGGAAGCCUUUAGAGAUAGAGGCGUGCUCGAAAGAGAGCCGUAACACAGGUGCUGCAUGGCUGUCGUCAGCUCGUGUCGUGAGAUGUUGGGUUAAGUCCCGCAACGAGCGCAACCCUUGUCAUUAGUUGCUACAUUCAGUUGGGCACUCUAAUGAGACUGCCGGUGACAAGCCGGAGGAAGGUGGGGAUGACGUCAAGUCCUCAUGGCCCUUAUAGGUGGGGCUACACACGUCAUACAAUGGCUGGUACAAAGGGUUGCCAACCCGCGAGGGGGAGCUAAUCCCAUAAAGCCAGUCGUAGUCCGGAUCGUAGUCUGCAACUCGACUACGUGAAGUCGGAAUCGCUAGUAAUCGUGGAUCAGAAUGUCACGGUGAAUACGUUCCCGGGUCUU